GACGAACGCUGGCGGCGUGCCUAAUACAUGCAAGUUGAGCGAUGAAGAUUGGUGCUUGCACCAAUUUGAAGAGCAGCGAACGGGUGAGUAACGCGUGGGGAAUCUGCCUUUGAGCGGGGGACAACAUUUGGAAACGAAUGCUAAUACCGCAUAACAACUUUAAACAUAAGUUUUAAGUUUGAAAGAUGCAAUUGCAUCACUCAAAGAUGAUCCCGCGUUGUAUUAGCUAGUUGGUGAGGUAAAGGCUCACCAAGGCGAUGAUACAUAGCCGACCUGAGAGGGUGAUCGGCCACAUUGGGACUGAGACACGGCCCAAACUCCUACGGGAGGCAGCAGUAGGGAAUCUUCGGCAAUGGACGAAAGUCUGACCGAGCAACGCCGCGUGAGUGAAGAAGGUUUUCGGAUCGUAAAACUCUGUUGGUAGAGAAGAACGUUGGUGAGAGUGGAGAGCUCAUAAAGUGACGGUAACUACCCAGAAAGGGACGGCUAACUACGUG
rnacentral:rRNA from 1 species